GGCCAUUACCAAUCUACAUAUAUUGAAAUGAAAAAGAAAAAAAAGAAUGAAGACAAAAAUGACAUUGCAGAUCUGAAUUUGGACAGCUAUCGAGUACAUAUGAUAAACUAUUGGUUGCCAUUGACCACUACACAAUACAGAUCUGUUCAAAGAGUAUGUUAACAAACUAACUAGGUCCAUAUCCCACUUGGAAAUUAAUCAACACACUUCAAUAUCUGCAUUUAGUUCCAUCAAAUACAUUAUGUUGCAAGAAAUUUGGAGGAACUCCCAAAAGUUGGUUGCAUAUAAAAUUCAAAAUCUGAACAGCGUCGGCAGCAUGUGGUAUGUGCAGGUGCAGCGACUUCGGCCUACACUUUGGCCUCGAUCCAGUCUGAAUUUCCUAAAUCUCCAAGCAUACAAGUUGCAGAGCCUUAUUCUAGCUUUCUGUAUCGUAUUUAUACUUCACAUAUGGAGUUCAGAGGAAAGAGUUAUGCCUGUCUUACGAAGAGGUGUCUAAGCUAUUCGAAAAAUUGCCAAAAUAACUUCAUUUUGAAUUUGACUCCUGUGUUUGUUCCUAAAUCGAAAUAUAACAAUAAUGAGGACACUUAAGCACCAAAUAAACAGAAACGACAUGUUAAGCACUGUGGAUGGUAACACUCAUACAUUUAAUACACCUGCAAGUCAUCGAGCUCCCAAAGAAGUAUCAACUCGUCUACGAUUAGUACAUGAAAAUAUUUGCAUCCCAAUUAUGUUUCGCAUCUCAAAUUCAAAAUUACAGGUUUAUUUGCCAAAUAAGGGUCUUUUAGAUGAUAUAGUAGGAAAUAAAAAAGUGUUACGAUUUGGCAAACAUCCAACCAAACUAGGAAAAACAAAUUUGAACAAACAUUAUGGGACACUAUGGCUGUUGUGUGGAUCUUAUUUCGACUUACAGACUAUGAAAAUAAAAUACUUCAAUUCAAAGAAACAAAGCUAAUUGAACAAGAAAAGAACACCCCUGAUAUUCCUCUGUCCAACUAAUAGGCUAUUCCGUUCGGGACUUUUAUCAAUUAUAAUGUUGUUCAUCACAGAACACCACACAACACACACACACACACUAUCUUAAUCGCAACCGCAAAUAAUUUUAUAAAUUUCAUCGUUGCGUAAGUAUAUAUGCAGGAGAUUACAUUAAAAAAAAUUAGAACAAGAACAGUUCAAAGCAAUGCAAUCAAAACAAACAGGGGAAAGAGGAAAAAAAAAAAUCAACCCGACUUUGAUCAAUUCACCAACCAAUGUAUUUCUAGAAAGCUACGAGUUCAAAAAUCAAAGAAAAAAUGUUCACGCAUACGAACAUAAGUAUCUGAUACUACAAAAAACAGAAUUGAAUGAGAUAUUUGCAUAAAUCAAAAGGAAGAUCCGAUAAAAAAAGUAACUUUAUGAGAUAUAAUUCGCAUCAUAAACUCACAACUACCCAAAGAAGAUGAUGCUCAAUCUUCAUCCGGAAGAACGAUGAGAGAGGGAGACGAAUGCAGGAAUGAACAAAACAUGAAGUU
rnacentral:lncRNA from 1 species